rnacentral:rRNA from 1 species
CAGCACUUGACAUCCAACUAACGAAAUAGAGAUAUAUUAGGUGCCCUUCGGGGAAAGUUGAGACAGGUGGUGCAUGGUUGUCGUCAGCUCGUGUCGUGAGAUGUUGGGUUAAGUCCCGCAACGAGCGCAACCCUCGCCAUUAGUUGCUACGCAAGAGCACUCUAAUGGGACCGCUACCGACAAGGUGGAGGAAGGUGGGGACGACGUCAAAUCAUCAUGCCCCUUAUGUGCUGGGCUACACACGUAAUACAAUGGCCAUCAACAGAGAGAAGCAAUACCGCGAGGUGGAGCAAAACUUCAAAAAUGGUCUCAGUUCGGACUGCAGGCUGCAACCCGCCUGCACGAAGUUGGAAUUGCUAGUAAUCGUGGAUCAGCAUGCCACGGUGAAUACGUUCCC